rnacentral:snoRNA from 1 species
ACGGCCUUACUUGAACAUGAUCUGUUCUAUAGGAUUGUACCGCUACAUCCUUUAACAAAAAUAUUUGGAACAUUGAGAAGCAAUGC